GGCUCCGGAGAGCUGUGUAGCGGCUCAGGAGCCGCGCAGUUGCUGGCAUUCCUGUCACGCAACUUCGGCCCGGCUGCUCUUUCUUCCAGCUUGGGGCCGUCAUUAUGUUUUCCUUCCUUAAAACAUCCCUAUGCACACUUUGUCGUCAUGUUUUUCUCUGCUGAACCAAACUUUAAUUGUUGAUCAGCAAAUGCUUCUAGAAAACCCAAGCAAAACCGCAGCGGCCAGCGAGCGAGGCACCCCCGCCUGCCAGCGGAUCCUGCAGCCUGGCCCAGAGCCGACUGCCGCGGGACCGGCGCCUUCCCUCUGCCGGAGCGGACAAACACGCCCGAGGGCGGGGGCUCAGGCAGCCCGCGGGGCGCCUCCCUCCCGCGGCUGCAGAACAAAGACGCAUCCGCCCUCCGCAGCCGGCCCCAUUCUAGGAAACGUCUACACAGAUGGCUUAUCAGGGCCCGCGCUGGGAAUACCCGGGGCGGGGUGACCUGGGUCUAGGGCAAGGCCCGGAUCUGCCUUAAAGGGAAACACUUUUUUUUUUUUUUUUUUUUCCUAGAAAUGCUCACCAAGGGCUGCAGGAGGGCCGGGAUCUGCGGGCUCACGACCCGGUGCAGCCUGGGUGCUCUGUUUUCCUCUUGUGCACGUGUUGAGUUUGUGUUUAAAAACAGGGAGAAACCGAGCCCAUUGACAUAGCACCAUCACCACCUGCAAAGACCAGAAACGACUGUGGUGAAGUGCAGGACCCCACAAGGACACCAAACACCAAACACCUCUUUUUGCUGCUUUUCAAGACGAUGCGCCAAUUAAGUGCCCAUGAAAACUGCUUUUCCUGCUUCCUUUAAGGUUCUGCUGGGAGGGUAGCCUCUGAGUGCCCUGUAUCCCUCCUGGGAUCCUUAGGCAUCCUGGCUCUAGGCAAACACAAAGAUACUGUACCCAGCACGGGAAGCGGUAGAUGGACCUCCAACUGGACACAGACUCUGGGGAUGAGGGAGGGCCAACCCGACUAUGCUUCCCUCAGAAGGGCAGCCAGUAAUACUGGCCGGAGACAGGGGUGCAGAAUGCCAACUAUACCAACUGGCGGGCAUCCUGUUCAGGACAAAAGUCCAGAGGCAGGCCUAAGUCAAGGCUUGUGUUGUAUCGACGAUAGUAUUUUGACGUGAUCUGACAAAAUUGGAAAGGAAAUAUUUCAUGCGACAUUCAUGAGUUCCCCAAAUUUGAAGGCAACAAAACUGUUCUGUUGAACUUGGGGGGAAAAUCGUUCAGAUUUCAACCACGGAAUUCAUUGCUACAACAGUAAAUAUGUUUGCCUUUGUUUUUCUUCUGGUAAAAUACAGGUAUACCAAAAUCACGGAACACUACUUCAUGUGCCUAUGUAAUGAAAUCCUCCGAAACCGCUAAAUCUAGGUUAUACCUCAACACAGCUGGAGAAAA